UACGUAGGGGGCAAGCGUUGUCCGGAAUCACUGGGCUUAAGGGGCGCGUAGGCGGCCCUCUUGGUCGUGGGUGAAAUCCCCCAGCUCAACUGGGGAAGGGCUUACGAUACCGGGGGGCUCGAGGGAGGAAGGGGCGGUCGGAACUGUCGGUGGAGCGGUGAAAUGCGUUGAUAUCGACAGGAACGCCGGUGGCGAAAGCGGACCGCUGGCCCUCUUCUGACGCUGAGGCGCGAAAGCUAGGGGAGCAAACAGG
rnacentral:rRNA from 1 species